GUUGGCGCCUUGAAACCCAAAAAAACUCGGCCGCCGGUUCGCCACGAUUUGGAUAGCCCUUGUAGCAAUUCCGGCUAAUUAAGUUAGGUUAUUUGCACUACCAGAGCUAUGAGUGCCUAGAUUACAAAGACUGGUAGGCUGGGAUGUGCGACCAAAUCGUUCAAACGUUACUCCGAAUGCCAACUCCAUGCUGUAGACCUUGUAUGUUACCGGCACUCAGUCAACGCAUCUGGAUCGGAACAAGUACGAAGCUUUUCUCGCUUCCGACGUCCUGCUAUUAUUAUACAUCAGUCAUCACACGAAUUACCGGAGCAUUCUGCGUUACUCACAAUCCUAUUUGAAAUGCCUUUCCCGCAAUAUUCCGAAUCAAAAAGAAACGCCAUUUGAGAUAAAAUACCUCAUCUAGUCCCGAAAGAUAGAGGAAAAUACGCGUACGGAAUUGACCAAAGUCAAUGUUAUGAACACAGUAAAACAAAAUCGAUAUCAAAACAUUUGUCAUUUGUCUGACGUUUUGUAGAACGGCUGCGUGCAUUUUGCAGGAUGUCAUAGUCAGUACUAAAAUUUAUAAGAACACUUGCAGGAUGGCAACGAUCAGUACUAAAUAUAUUAACAACGCUUGGAGGAUGGUGUGGAUUUUUGGGUUAAUUCAUCCUGCAAACAAGCUAAAUCCGAGCUGCGCUGAGCAAGCGUGUACAUUUUUCAACACGGUUUAGUACAUAUACACGUCAUCCUGCAUGCGGUGACAGCUGCUGAUGGUCAUUUUGUUUUUCAACAAAAUGUUUUGCUUCGCAUACACACUGGCUGCUGAAAUUUGAAUGCUUUCAAAUUUUUCUGCUCCCGUGAUGGAUUUUCUGCAUCGGGUUGUGCAGGUGGUAAAAACUCAGCCCUUCAGGUCUGAGCCCUUAUUAUUCAGCCUUUCGAUGCGAUUCAAACGAUGUGUGGGUGCCGGGAUCAAAUCUUCGGAUAUCGUGCAUCAGCUACAAUAUUUUAUUCAGCUUUCGGUACGAGUCUCAGGUGACACGGUGCUGAACGCUGCGUGGCGAUGGGUGAUGAAUAAAACAAAUAUGCACUGGUGAAGGCCCAAUUGGAAAUGCACUUUCAAACACUAAGUGCAUCUAAUCAGAUGAAAUGUUUAGGUUCUGGUCAGCUGAAUUACAAUCCGGAUUUUCUCGAUUUUGAAAGAAUGCCUGCCGAAAGCACGCAGCUCCUUGCAUCCUACAUCAUCCAUAGGAUAAGAGGAGAUCCAAUAAUGGAUCGCAUGAUAGCGCCGGUCCGCAGGAAUCGACCGAAUAGUUUACCAGAGGAACACAAGGAACCUUGCAUAGCAAAACGAAGAUCAGCAACAUGCCAAAGGAGCUUCGUGGAUGACACUAUCGCGAAAUCACCUGCCGGUAGGAUUCACAACAAACCCCAAAUAAACGGUUAGGAAGAUGAGCGUCCGCUGUACCAAACCGGCCUACCAUGUAUUGGAAAACCUAAACAAAAUUGAAGAAAAAAAGAAUGCACGGAUCGUCGCGAUAGCCUUUAAAGGGCACGCCUCCAGAGCAGUGCAUAAGUGUCAUCUAAGAAUUCCUGUAUCAGAUAUUCUAGGACGAUGGAAACCUUGUUCAUGCAUUCCAAAGGAUGCUGAUGGUACCCCGUACCCACCGGCUUAUGAUAUGCAUACUGCUAAUCCCUUUCUGGAGCAUCAACUUGAGACUGGCUGCCACGACGCCGGAACGCUAAGGAAUAGUUUAUUGAAUUGAACUUAAUGCAGUUUAUUGUUUUAAUGGAAACGAAAAAAACAAAUCUUUUCAAAACGAAAGCCUCAAAACCGCCCUAAAGUAAUAAAAAGUUGCUUACAAAUUGUAUUAAAAUAACUUACUGCU